rfam:Aedes aegypti strain Liverpool supercont1.245 genomic scaffold, whole genome shotgun sequence.
UUCCCAGCAACUCCUAUCCCUACCUCCAAGCGGUACUGAUCGGGGUACGAGUAACCUUAGGGAAGAUCGGGUAACCAACCCCGGUGGGAGCGUUGGUCGUAUGCUGACAGGGAAUAGG